AGCGAACGCUGGCGGCAGGCCUAACACAUGCAAGUCGAACGAAGUCUUCGGACUUAGUGGCGGACGGGUGAGUAACACGUGGGAACGUGCCUUUAGGUUCGGAAUAACUCAGGGAAACUUGUGCUAAUACCGAAUGUGCCCUUCGGGGGAAAGAUUUAUCGCCUUUAGAGCGGCCCGCGUCUGAUUAGCUAGUUGGGGAGGUAAAGGCUCACCAAGGCGACGAUCAGUAGCUGGUCUGAGAGGAUGAUCAGUCACAUUGGGACUGAGACACGGCCCAAACUCCUACGGGAGGCAGCAGUGGGGAAUCUUGCGCAAUGGGCGAAAGCCUGACGCAGCCAUGCCGCGUGAAUGAUGAAGGUCUUAGGAUUGUAAAAUUCUUUCACCGGGGACGAUAAUGACGGUACCCGGAGAAGAAGCCCCGGCUAACUUCGUGCCAGCCGCCGCGGUAAGAC
rnacentral:rRNA from 1 species